AAUCCAUGAUGUGGGCAUUGUUGCAAGAGUCCUUUGAAUUUGUCUCAUGCUCGAAUAAGGAUUCUCCAUCAUUUUACAUAAAGCUUGUGAUGAGGUGUCUCAAGUGU